ACUCAUAUAUGGGACGCUCCUCUCUGUCUUCUCUUUGCCAUCAGUGAUGUUCAGGCUGUGCACAGGUGGAGGUGAGCGCUCCUGCUGCAGCCGCAUGAAGGGAGCAACUUGCUUCGGAUCUAUGGGACAAAUUUUUACAGCUUUAGGGGGAAAAGAUUUGUGGUUUUGUUUUCAAAAAGGAUGAAGUAGCUGAAAUAUUUUAAUUCUCCACCUUUUUUUUCCCAUCACGGAUAUCGAGCUAACACAGCUGCAAGAUCUUCCAUGUUGAUGAGCCUCUUCUGGAGAGGGAUAUGGAAACGUCCCGCUAAUGAAGCUCUGUAUUCCAGCUCCGCAUGACAAUGAGUCAGUCAUAAAGAGCUGCAUUGUUUCAUAAAGGUGUGAAGAGGAUAUAACAGUGUUGUCUCAGACCCUCUGGAUUAAUGUUUGUGCCUCAGUUACUCCUCUCUUUCUGCUGCUGCUGCUCGUCUGAGACCUGAUACAAAUUCAAAAGGAUCUGCUGCUUUGAAGAUAAGCGCCGCAGUUCUGCCAUAAACAAUGAUUGUGCUGUUUCUUUCCUGUGGCGUGAUUUAUUUAAAGUAUUAUGCUGUAAGGAUUUGGGCUGGUUUUUCCUGGCGGGGCCGACUGUGUGUGUGUGUGUGUGUGUGUGUGUGCGUUAUUGGUGUGUGGGUGUGUGUGUGUGUGUGUGUAUCCUCAACCUGUGAAGCUUAUUGGAUAGUUUGGACUCAGGAAAACACUUAGGGAACCACAAGCAGAGUCAUCAAAGUGAGACCUUUGACUCAGACGGUCUGAUAUUUACCAUUUCCCAUAGUACAAACUGUCUUAUGUAAUGUAACUCACUUUGGAGAUCUUGAUUUAAUUUAAAAGAGGCAUAUAUAAGGAUUAAAACGCCCAGAAAUUACAGCCCCCAAAUACAGACUAUGUAGAGUUCUCAAGAUCCGGUAUCCUGCAACUUUUAGAUGCAUUUUGCUUCAAAAAAUCUCAGUCAAAUAAAGACAUCAAAGGCAAGUAAUUUGGCCAGGUGACUCAUGUUGGACCAAGGACACUGGGUCUGGAGUGGAAUACCACUGAUGUAGAGAAAAAGUAGCUCAGACUCAGUCAGACUGGAUGUAAAGCAUCUGUGAAAAACUCUCAAUUGGAUUUUGAUCCAGAUUUUGACUGGGUGAAUCAGCCUCACAACUAUGUUUUAAUCCAAAUCAUUCCAUGACUAUAUAUAAAGUUGUAAAAUAAAGUAUUUUUGAAUUUGUCCUCUC